UUUACCUUUGUAAACACAGGCGUGCUUCCGUAGGCAGACCCGGUCAGGCUCACCGAGGGACUCUGCAUCUAUAUAGAAAAGAAAAGUGAUUUUUAUAGCUUGAAUUUCUCAUAUGCAGAAACCUGGCUGCGUUGCUGGCACUUUGAAACAGAAGAAGAUGCCGGAGUGUUUUACUGUUGUUCAUGCGCCAGCAUAAUAAAUACCCCAUGGAGAGUCUCCAUUCAAGCACUCCAAGAGGAAAUGCCUCCCUGACUCUGAACGCCCAAGUUAGUGGAAAGAGGAGCUGAGAACUGCCCUGAUGUCAUCAAAGCUGGUGGAUCCAGAGAUGAACCAAAGCUCCUGAGCCCGCCUGCCCUCUUGUCCCACUGCACAUGAGGCCCCUGAGCUGCCCGUGCUCUUGCUGUGCGAUGGAGAAGGCUGCAGUGAACGCAGAGGAAGCAGCAAGACCGGACUGUUUAAGCUCUCACAAACACCUCUUAUGACAGUGACAUGUGUCGUACCCUGUGUCCAAGGAGGAGAAAAGAGGAUCUGAAGAUGUGCAACUAGACAUGGAAGCAGCCUGUGUAAUGAGGCAUGACAAACCGCUUAAGUCUGGCCAUGCGCUCUAUGAUAUCAGAUCAGUUGGCCAUCUGGCUUGGGAAACUGGAAUCAUCUCAAUUACCAAAGUGUACGUAUCCCUUUGGGAACUGCAGUUAGCUGCUGAGCGCUCCGAACCUUCCCCUUCUGCAGCAGAACGUCUCUGAAGAGCGCCCCGCUUCAUUCGCAUGUCCUUCACAGCAGCUUGCUGACAAGUCCCGACACAAGACAGGCACCAAUCAAUAGCAUAUUUUUAAAUGUUAGUGAGAUGGAAUUUCAGGGAGCCUUCAUGUUAAUGUCAUUUGGCACUUAGGUGGAGUAAACAGCAGACAAGGAAAAGCAGGCUUCAAUUUGGCUCCAGGAGAAUGAUAUGAACGCAAGCCCUGCAUGCGUUUAACUGAGUUUGUUAUGUCCCCUGCUGGCACAUGGUCGGUGUGUCACCUGAGGUAUUGCUGUUCCUGGGACUAUUUCCUUUUGUACCUUUGACAAAUCCUUAUUUCUGGAGUGUCUGAGAUGUGCUGUGGACAUCAUAAUACUGACAAAAAUCUCUUGGAAGGAAAAGGCUGCUGCAGAGCCCUCCAUUCAAAAACAUACGGAAAGGAUUUUAACACUGACCCCACACAGCAUUUUAUCACAGCUCGAGUACUCCUAGAAUUGUAGUACGCUAUUUUCCUUUUGGAAGGAGUGUCAGAACUUGGGUUUCCUGGAACAUCAAGCAGUAAUUAUCUCCCUGUGUUUGAUGACCUUUCAGUCAACUCAGAUUUUGCGUUCGGAUUCAGUGCUAAUUCUGUGGCCAACUUUUAAAUGAGUCUGAACUUCAUCUUUAAUUAGAAGCCAGCAAUCCUGCGUUCCCAGUCAGUCACGGGACUUCGCUUACUUGAACUGACGAUUAAGCGCAGUUUAUGCUGUUGGUGCGGUGAGGUCCCUCUGACCUUUACUUUGGAGUUCCUACAUCUACGGGAAUUAACAAGUUUUCCUCACCAGGCCAUUUCAACCUGGAAAAAGCAUCAUGAAUGUUUUGAAAUGCCAUUCCGGCCUACAUGGCUGCAAAGGUUUUGAUGCAUUUACAACAGUGUGGUGGGGACACAGUGUGGCAACUUGUGUGCGAGUUCUUGUUUGUUUGUUUAACUUCGAAGGAUCCCAAAUACUGGGGCGAAACUUCUGUGUCGUCUCUCUGAAACUCUGAUACCCGUCCUGGGCGAUGGACAGCACGUGCUCUUGCGAGUCUGAAGCCGAGCAUCUUCUGAUCAGUCAGUUCACUCCUAUUGACUUGUCUGGCAAUUAGACACCAGACCGCGCAUAAAGUCAGUGGGUAUAACGAGAGAACAUGCAGCGUGAAGGACGACGUCUUCAAGACAGUGAUGAUGCUCUGUUCGGUUAGCAAUGAUUUUUAAAAGUGCAGCAUUAAGAAAAGAGAUACUUGAUAACGGAACGCUCAGCACAGAAAUGGAGCAUCAGCACUUGAGUCAAAUGAAAGGGUAAGGAAGAAAUGACAAGAAAUCAAGGCACAAGUAGUAUUAUUCACAUUCGAUUCUGAAGCAGUCUCACUGCUCGGAGAGCUUCCACCUGGUAACAAAGAACCCUCUUAUGCCGAGAUUCAGACUGGAAAAAUUGAUUGCUUAACUCUGAUCAGGAUGUCAGGAGUAGAUAACACGUGUUACAAAAAGCCAUAGCAACCUUUUUUUUUUUUUUUAAAAGCUGCUUAAUGCCACAGAAAUGUACUGCCCAAGCACUUGUAGGGAGAGACAGUAAAGGGAGACCAUCCAUCGGCAUCCCUGGCCUUCUCAUAAAGUCACAAGAGUUUCUGCUGGCCCACUGACCACAUAAUUUAGACUAGUUUUCAUUUUGUGGUUGUAUUUAAACCACUUGGGGCCGCCUCUGCUGUAUAACUAAGCACACUUGGGCAUGCCCAUGGCAUGGGAAUACUGCUAUGGGAGCCACUUAGGCCAAGUUCACACAUGGGAAUCUCAGCUGGGCCUGAUUCAAACGCUAAAUACUGUCUGAGAUGUUUGCUGCGGCGAGAACUAAGAGUAAUCUGAACUAUUGUGUCUAAUAUUGAUAAAUCAGAGUAUAUCGUGAAUGUCAUGUGCUUGUGAAUUGCUUUAAGCACGGGCCCUGAAGCUGUAAAAGUGUGCUGAAAUACGAGGAAGAUGAUAGUAGAGAUUUGCGUUCCAAACUUGGAGAGAUCCAGCUGAUAACCCAGCCUCUAGCAGGUAUGCCACCAUAAUUUGUGAAAAUGCUCUGUUCAGUGGAUGAUCUGACAAUAUUUGAUGAUUUCUGUGUGGGUGCUGGAAUCUCCAAGAAAAGUGAAAAUCCCGGAUCAGAUUUGCUCUCAGUUAAGCAAGUGAAAUGGAGCUAAUUAAUCACUUUAUUACCCUGGAGUCUCACCGGUAGAACAGAGAACCAACUCCAUCACCUCCCUUCACAAAGCGUAUACCAGCCACUGUGAUUACGCACGGCAGGUCGGCAGUAUCGCUGACGAGGAGUUGCUGGCUGCUGCUUGGUGAAACGCCUGUUGUGCUGGACAGGCGGAUGGUGCCUAUCAGCACUAAAGGGAGCCCAGUGACUGAGGCUGGUGUUAAUGGAAAUAAUUAAUAGUGAGAUACUCUCAACAGCCUGAUCAUUCACCUUUACUAGGUAUUUAGCUGUCUCCUGUUUUUCCUUCUGUGAUGCACAAGGCAGGUGUUUAAGUUUUUGGUUAUUUAUGCACCCUAUUUUACAUGCAUUAUAUUUGACCGAAUUAGAAAAAAAUAGUAAAUUCUGCCAACACUAAUCCAUGUCUAUCACUCAAAUACUUGAUUACUAUGUCAUUAACUCUGCCAUUCUUGCUCUUGUGAGUAGUGCUGCCCUCAUGACUCCAAUGGGAUCGGACCCUAAUAGGUUUCAAGGAGUCUUUUGGCUCAGCGUGGAUCAGGAAGUGCUUAACAAUCCAGUGUAUCUGCAAGAGCUUGUGAGGAUCUUCUCCCAGAGCUCCUCUGAUGAGCAGAGUCCUGCAGACGGUUUGCACUAAGGCUGUAGCGACUGAACAAGAGAACUAUGACCGGACUGAAUCUUGUAAGAACAGCACGACUAUGGAAAAUGCUGGUCCCUAUCCAAGAGAAUUUCAUAGCCUUAAGGAAAGAGAAGAAAGGAAAUCAUCAAUUAUGACAGAAGAGUGAAAAGAUGAAAGAGGAAGAGAGAAACCGAGCUUCAGAGGGAAGAGGAGGGAGGGCAGGAUUUAAGGAAAAAUGGUAAUGCGAGUCCAAAGAAAAGGAUGCAAAUUCAAUUCUCUGAUGACUUUCCACUUCACCCCUCACAAAGGUGUGUUUCUCACUUUCAGCGCACUCCCCUUACAAAGGGCUCAGGGAGGAUUUUGUUCAGUAGGAUGAACUUUUGAUACUACUUACUGAAGAAAUAGUUCCUGUGGGUUAUUCUGUUGUUACCUUUUUAUCUGAAGAAUAUCUUAUUUUGCAUUAGGCGAAUAAAAGAGAGGGGUAGUGUUUUAUUCCCCAUCUGAAUUUGCACAGGGUAGGAAUUUUUAUCAUGAAGAGUGUCAUGUUCAAACUUCAGGUAGGCAAAAGACUAUCUAGUUUCCUCUCAGUGCAUUUUAAUCAAUCUUUUUCAAUGAAAGCCCUCUCCCAACCAGCGCUAAUUCAUGAUAGUUUCAAAAGUAAGAUCACAGAUUUGAUGUUUAUGCAGGUGAAAGUACAAACAGCAGAACAGGGCAAAAGAUAUAUCUUUUGCCAAAAAAGCCAGAGCUCUCUCAAGGACAGUUGUAUCUCUUUUAAGAAAUUCUUCACAGUCAUAGCUAAAGCAAGGGGCCAGGAUGGGGAGGUUUGUGGUGUCUUCCUGUGAACUGCAACAUUACUCUCUGCCUGGGGUGUUGAUUUGAGUAGGAGUGGGGCUUCUGAAAGUCUAAUAAUAUCUCUUUGAUUAGAUUAAAAUUCCUCACGUGAAUGUGUGGUUCUCCGAGUGAUCUGGGAAAUUACGGUUGAAUCCCCUUUAUUCCCAACUGUUUCCACCUCUGCACAUUUAGAAAAUCAGGAUGGAAUCUGUCUGUAGGCAGGAUGAUGUUAUUACAGUCUUCAAGGAGCGUAAUGUCAAUGCAGAACUAAUUCAGUGAACAAGCUGUAUGAAGGAAUCCUUUUGCUUUCAGAAUGCUUUCAGACCGUGGAAAGAUAAAACCAGACUGAAAGCUAGAAGAUUGCACUCAUAAAAAAAAAAUACAGUUGAUACACUCAAAUUGUUUUUAAAAAAUGAAUCAACACCUAUUGACUAUGGAAGCCAACCACAGUGAUAUAAACGAGAUUGAAGAGGUUGAAACAAAUUAAAAGGAUAUGACUCUGUGUUUAUACGAGGGUUUACAUAAUCAAAAUAUUUAUAAGAGCUACUUUUGACUUCCUAAUGUCUUUCUGUUGCCCCUGAUGCUCUUUUCCAAAACUUCAUCAUUCCUUUUCUGUCUUAGAAGUUUGGACCCAUUAAACAGCAUGACAGAAGUAUAUUUCUUUAGUGACAAAAAUUGCUAUAAAGAUUUCUUAAUAAUUUAUUUUGUAUCAGCUUCUACUUAGAAUACAUGGUAACAUAGGAAGCCUAGUGCUGGAAAGGGACUGUUGAAAUUCCUGUUUCACGAUCUCUUAAGCAGUGAUGCCCUCCUGUGGACUCUAGGUAGUAUACUUUCUACUGGAAUAACUGGAAUGUUUUGUGCAUGAAAAUAAUACGGUUUUCCUUCCUUCUAAUAUAUAAUAUAAUGUAAUGUAAUAUCAAUAUAAUACAUUAUUAUAUAUAAUAUAAUAAUAUAUAUAUUAUAUAUAGAAUAAUAUAGUAAUGUAUAGAAAGUAUAAUAAUAUAUAUAAUAUAUAAUCCUUCUAACUAAAAUAUCCCAUGAGGACAUUUAAUACAGUGCGUUAUUUGGCCAGUGCCUCUGGUUUGAGACAUGCAUUUUCUUUAGGUGAUGAUACAAGUGGAGCUUAUACCUGUGUUAGAAACUUAAACUGCUUAUACAAUGAAUUUUUAUUCUGUAGGUUGUUCUCUGAAUUGAAGCAAUUUAAUGCUGCGACUGCUCUGUCAGGAGGGGAAAAGUAUGUAUUUCUUUUUAAUGGUGUUUGCCUUUUAAAUAUAUAGGACAAUAUUAUGCAUUUACUUGCAUAUAGUUAAAAGCCGUUUAAAAAUAUGGUGGGGAGACUGCUGUAGCUGUUGGAGUGUUGACUGUUUUAGCAGACCUGUCACAUCUCAUGUGCACGGUGAGACUCCUGCUUUGGCUCUGUGCGUACACCGCUGUGGUACCUGUGUCUCUCAUGUCUGCAGCGGCUCAUGCAGCCAGAGGAAAAGGCACAUUUAAGGAACUCGUGGGAAUGUUCAUAACAAGUGACCUGGUGCACUGAUUGGGUGACUGGAUGCUUCACCAGGCGUGAAUCUGACAGGAAUUGGAGAGGUCUGGUCGGAGUCUCCACGGCGUCUCAGGUGACCUGCGAGGUCUGUGGGAUACGCAGGAGGAAUGAACGUUUAGCUGUCUAGGAAACCCUGCAUCACCGGAGCCUGCUGGUAUGUCAGGGCACGUGUACGUUUGCAGUGUGCCUGGCCCUUUCAAUGUGGGGACUGAACUCUGAAAACGUGAUUUAGAGCGAAUACGUGAACUGCUCAAGGUCAUCUACACGGCAGCUGGGAAAGGACAUUGGACAGGAGGACACCAGGUCAAGUGAAGUGUGUCCUUUCUGUAGUAUCAGAGGAGACACUUCUAUCUGCAAGAGAUGGGUAUAUAUAUUUUAAAGGUGUUUUCCUUUCAUUAAUCAACCAGUCAGAAGUGCAAAUGAAGAGGAAGCAGUUGGGCUAUACUUGAGUUGUGUCAGCGGCUGAUUUUGCCUGCUGAUUUGCUCACAUCUUAAAGACCCUCAUCUCCUCCUGCUGAAAGAAGUAGUGACUUCUUUCUUUGAUCUCUUCCUUGGCCUACUUGUCUGUCUUGCUUUCAGGGAGAGAAAGGGAGCAGUAAACAAGCGCUCUGUUUUCUUUGGUAUCUGUUGAGGCCAUAAUUAGCGCCUCUUAAUUUUUCUUCCUUUUUGCUGUAAAUUAUUAAGGGUCUAUAAAACUCUCGUGGGUUAUUUUCUGCAUGAAACAGAUAUUAAUUUAUCUUGGGAGGGGCCACACAGUUUUUACAAUAAGUGGUAGGCAAAAUGUAUUUUUGUAUUUCCUGUAAUUGUGUGGAGCUUGCACACAACCUCUGGGAAGAAGUUGUUGGUUUUUUUUUUAAAUAGAGAAAUAGAGUAGGAUAUGUUUGCUUAUUUUAAACCCACAAAUAUUUCAGUGACAUUAUGAGCAUAAUCUCUUUUCUAAAACUAGAUAACAUGAUUGAAAUGAUUGUGUCUGUUCAUGCGUUGAGAUAAAUGGAUCUAAACACCUGACAUCUUUCCCUGUAAGAGGAUGUCAAACGUGGACAUUUAAUAUUCCUGUCAUAUUAAUAAGUUACUCUUAAUAGACUUGGCUAGAACAGAAAAAAAAAAUCCAGUUUAAGAAAAAUCAGACUAUUUAUAUUGCAAGUAUUAAUUCUACUGGUUAAUGAUAAUCACAGCCUUUGAGAUUAAAGCAUGAAAACUUGGCCUGGUGACAGAAAUGAGGCUGUAAUUUUACUAGCAGUGUUAGUCUCUGGAGUUGACGCCAUCUGAAGAGGAGUAAGGAAGAAUCAGUGUUUACUUUGUGCUGAAACGUUCAGCCCCUCUGGACUCCAUCAGUUAACUAACCGCCCAGCGCCGUCAAUGUUGCGCUCGGAUCGGCGACUCUCCAAGGCUGCGUUUCCACAGCAGUUGAUCUAAAUCAGGGGGAUACUGCAGUUCUGCAGCCUGCCAGCUGCAGCACUUGGGAUCAUGCAACAAACUGUUUCAGAAAGCUGAGGCAGCUAAAACCGAAGACCUUUCUCACAAUAAAACUAUUUUUGGCUGUCUCAGUUCUCUUAAGCGGACUGCUGUGUUUGCACAAGCAUCAGGGCUGGCACAUGAGAGAAGGCAGGAUCAGAUGGCUGGAGCGCAGCAGUCCCCACGCAGAUGCUACCUGAAGAGGCUGUGAAAUUGCCUUCACUGAAGGUUUUAGAAACAGAUGAGACAAGUAUCUGUGAGGAGGACUAAGUUAACCUGAGUUUCAGAAACCAUGCGGUGGAGGUGCUGAUGUGCCUAGUGAGAUGUGAUGAACUGACCUUUUCAUCUUCAAGGAAAGAAAAUUCCACCAAAAAAAUUGUGCUUAGUUCCUAGAUAAUUUCCAACAUAAACCGUAGUAGGUAUAAGACAAAAAAAUAGAAAAAAAUCCUGUUUCUGACGAAAAAAUCACUAUGUUGAAAAUAGUGCUUCAGUCUUCAAGCUGACAAUG